GACGAACGCUGGCGGCGUGCUUAACACAUGCAAGUCGAACGGAAAGGCCCUGCUUUUGUGGGGUGCUCGAGUGGCGAACGGGUGAGUAACACGUGAGUAACCUGCCCUUGACUUUGGGAUAACUUCAGGAAACUGGGGCUAAUACCGGAUAGGAGCUCCUGCUGCAUGGUGGGGGUUGGAAAGUUUCGGCGGUUGGGGAUGGACUCGCGGCUUAUCAGCUUGUUGGUGGGGUAGUGGCUUACCAAGGCUUUGACGGGUAGCCGGCCUGAGAGGGUGACCGGCCACAUUGGGACUGGAAAACGGCCCAGACUCCUACGGGGGGCAGGAGGGGGGAAUAUGGCACAAGGGGGGGAAGCCUGAUGCAACAACGCCGGGUGCGGGAUGACGGCCUUCGGGUUGUAAAACGCUUUCGCCUGGGACGAAGGGUGAGGGAGGGUAAUGGGGAAAGAAGCACCGGCUAACUACGG
rnacentral:rRNA from 1 species